rnacentral:rRNA from 1 species
UACGAAGGGGGCUAGCGUUGUUCGGAAUUACUGGGCGUAAAGGGCGCGUAGGCGGCCUUGUAAGUCCUGUGUGAAAUCCCUCAGCUUAACUGGGGAACUGCGUGUGAUACUGGAUGGCUUGGAUUUGGGAGAGGGAUGCGGAAUUCCAGGUGUAGCGGUGAAAUGCGUAGAUAUCUGGAGGAACACCGGUGGCGAAGGCGGCAUCCUGGACCAAUAUUGACGCUGAGGAGCGAAAGCCAGGGGAGCAAACGGG